rnacentral:rRNA from 1 species
AGCGAAACCGCGAGGUCAAGCAAAUCCCAUAAAGUUGUUCUCAGUUCGGAUUGUAGUCUGCAACUCGACUAUAUGAAGCUGGAAUCGCUAGUAAUCGUAGAUCAGCAUGCUACGGUGAAUACGUUCCCGGGUCUUGUACACACCGCCCGUCACACCACGAGAGUUUGUAACACCCGAAGCCGGUGGAGUAACCAUUUGGAGCUAGCCGUCGAAGGUGGGACAAAUGAUUGGGGUGAAGUCGUAACAAGGUAGCCGUAUCGGAAGGUGCGGCUGGAUCACCUCCUUU